AAUCAACGCUGGCGGCGUGCCUCAGACAUGCAAGUCGAACGAUUAAAGCUCUCUUCGGAGAGUGCAUAGAGUGGCGCACGGGUGAGUAACACGUAAGUAAUCUACCUUCGAGUGGGGAAUACCGUCCGGAAACGGACGCUAAUACCGCAUAAUGCAGCGGCAUCGCAAGAUGACAGUUGUUAAAGAUUUAUCGCUUGAAGAGGAGCUUGCGGCGGAUUAGCUAGUUGGUAAGGUAAUGGCUUACCAAGGCUACGAUCUGUAACCGGUCUAAGAGGACGGUCGGUCACACUGACACUGGAAUAACGGGUCAGACUCCUACGGGAGGCAGCAAGUCGGGAAUUUUGGGCAAUGGGCGAAAGCCUGAUCCAGCCAUGCCGCGUGAGUGAUGAAGGCCUUAGGGUUGUAAAGCUCUUUCGGGCGGGGACGAUAAUGACGGUACCCGCAGAAGAAG
rnacentral:rRNA from 1 species